rnacentral:rRNA from 1 species
UGGGGAAGUAUUGCACAAUGGGGGAAACCCGUGAUGCAGCGACGCCGCGUGAGUGAAGAAGUAUUUCGGUAUGUAAAGCUCUAUCAGCAGGGAAGAAAAUGACGGUACCUGACUAAGAAGCCCCGGCUAACUACGUGCC